AACGAACGCUGGCGGCAUGCCUAACACAUGCAAGUCGAACGAUGCUUUCGGGCAUAGUGGCGCACGGGUGCGUAACGCGUGGGAAUCUGCCCUUUGGUUCGGAAUAACAGCGAGAAAUUGCUGCUAAUACCGGAUGAUGACGUUAAGUCCAAAGAUUUAUCGCCAGAGGAUGAGCCCGCGUAGGAUUAGCUAGUUGGUGUGGUAAAGGCGCACCAAGGCGACGAUCCUUAGCUGGUCUGAGAGGAUGAUCAGCCACACUGGGACUGAGACACGGCCCAGACUCCUACGGGAGGCAGCAGUGGGGAAUAUUGGACAAUGGGCGCAAGCCUGAUCCAGCAAUGCCGCGUGAGUGAUGAAGGCCUUAGGGUUGUAAAGCUCUUUUACCCGUGAUGAUAAUGACAGUAGCGGGAGAAUAAGCCCCGGCUAACUCCGUGCCAGCAGCCGCAGUAA
rnacentral:rRNA from 1 species